rnacentral:rRNA from 1 species
GUACACUCCUACGGGAGGCAGCAGUGGGGAAUUUUGGACAAUGGGCGAAAGCCUGAUCCAGCAAUGCCGCGUGAGUGAAGAAGGCCUUCGGGUUGUAAAGCUCUUUUGUCAGGGAAGAAACGGUGAAAGCUAAUAUCUUUUGCUAAUGACGGUACCUGAAGAAUAAGCACCGGCUAACUACGUGCCAGCAGCCGCGGUAAUACGUAGGGUGCAAGCGUUAAUCGGAAUUACUGGGCGUAAAGCGUGCGCAGGCGGUUUUGUAAGUCUGAUGUGAAAUCCCCGGGCUCAACCUGGGAAUUGCAUUGGAGACUGCAAGGCUAGAAUCUGGCAGAGGGGGGUAGAAUUCCACGUGUAGCAGUGAAAUGCGUAGAUAUGUGGAGGAACACCGAUGGCGAAGGCAGCCCCCUGGGUCAAGAUUGACGCUCAUGCACGAAAGCGUGGGGAGCAAACAGGAUUAGAAACCCCUGUAGUCCCAUGAU